rnacentral:tRNA from 6 species
GGGCCCGUAGCUCACCUGGCUAGAGCGCCGGUUUUGCACUCCGGAGGUAAGGAGUUCGAUUCUCCUCGGGUCCACAA